rnacentral:tRNA from 1 species
UCCCUGGCCGUCUAGUGGUUAAGACUCUGCACUGUCAAUGCUGGGGCCACAGGUUUGAUCCCUGGCUGGGGAA